rnacentral:rRNA from 1 species
CGGCGGACGGGUGAGUAACACGUGGGCAACCUACCUAUAAGACUGGGAUAACUUGCGGAAACGUAAGCUAAUACCGGAUAAUUCUUCCAUUCGCAUGAAAGGAAGUUAAAAGAUGGCAUUUGCUAUCACUUAUAGAUGGGCCCGCGGCGCAUUAGCUAGUUGGUGAGGUAAGAGCUCACCAAGGCGACGAUGCGUAGCCGACCUGAGAGGGUGAUCGGCCACACUGGGACUGAGACACGGCCCAGACUCCUACGGGAGGCAGCAGUAGGGAAUCUUCCGCAAUGGACGAAAGUCUGACGGAGCAACGCCGCGUGAGCGAUGAAGGUCUUCGGAUCGUAAAGCUCUGUUAUUAGGGAAGAACAAGUACCGUUUGAAUAAGGCGGUACCUUGACGGUACCUGACUAGAAAGCCACGGCUAACUACGUGCCAGCAGCCGCGGUAAUACGUAGGUGGCAAGCGUUGUCCGGAAUUAUUGGGCGUAAA